CCUCAUCUUCAUCUUCAUCAUCUUUGUCUUCAUCUUUGUCUUCAUCUUCAUCUUCAUCAUCUUCUGUGUCUUCUUCAAUUUUUUGGCUUUGUGUUUUCAAUGUCUUUUUCUUCUUCUUCUCCUCCUCUUCCUCCUCCUCUUCCUCCUCUUCCUCCUCCUCCUCCUCCUCUUCCUCUUCCUCUUCCUCUUCCUCUUCCUCCUCCUCUUCCUCCUCUUCCUCCUCUUCCUCCUCUUCCUCCUCCUCUUCCUCCUCUUCCUCCUCUUCCUCCUCUUCCUCCUCCUCUUCCUCCUCUUCCUCCUCUUCCUCCUCUUCCUCCUCCUCCUCUUCCUCCCGUUCCUUCUUUCUCUCUUUUCCCUCUUCCUCCUCCUCCUCCUCUCCAUCUUCUUCCUCCUCUUCCUCCUGUUCCUCCUUUUCCUUCUUCCUCCUCCUCUUCCUCCCCUUCCU
rnacentral:lncRNA from 1 species